rnacentral:rRNA from 1 species
GACGAACGCUGGCGGCGUGCCUAAUACAUGCAGGUAGAACGCUGAAGGAGGAGCUUGCUUCUCUGGAUGAGUUGCGAACGGGUGAGUAACGCGUAGGUAACCUGCCUGGUAGCGGGGGAUAACUAUUGGAAACGAUAGCUAAUACCGCAUAAUAUUGACUAUUGCAUGAUAGUCAGUUGAAAGGUGCAACUGCACCACUACCAGAUGGACCUGCGUUGUAUUAGCUAGUUGGUGGGGUAACGGCUCACCAAGGCGACGAUACAUAGCCGACCUGAGAGGGUGAUCGGCCACACUGGGACUGAGACACGGCCCAGACUCCUACGGGAGGCAGCAGUAGGGAAUCUUCGGCAAUGGACGGAAGUCUGACCGAGCAACGCCGCGUGAGUGAAGAAGGUUUUCGGGUCGUAAAGCUCUGUUGUAAGAGAAGAACGAGUGUGAGAGUGGAAAGCUCACACUGUGACGGUAUCUUACCAGAAAGGGACGGCUAACUACGUG